AGCCCUUGACAUGUCGUGGACCGGUCGCAGAGACGUGACCUUCUCUUCGGAGCCGCGAACACAGGUGCUGCAUGGCUGUCGUCAGCUCGUGUCGUGAGAUGUUGGGUUAAGUCCCGCAACGAGCGCAACCCCCGUCCUUAGUUGCUACCAUUCAGUUGAGCACUCUAGGGAGACUGCCGGUGAUAAGCCGCGAGGAAGGUGGGGAUGACGUCAAGUCCUCAUGGCCCUUACGGG
rnacentral:rRNA from 1 species